rnacentral:lncRNA from 1 species
AAGCCGUUAUCCCUACAUUCACUCGAUGCUAAAUCCUACUCCCAGCUAAAUUGACACUAGUAUUAUUAUUGGCAUAACAUGAUGAGGUACUGUACUUAUAAUUUCUCAACAUAAACAUGAUAUUCUGAACGUAGUAUUAAAAUCAUGGUCUGACUGACUUGUGACUUGAAAAUAAAGACAUAUAGAAACAAAUAGGUAUCGGGUGUUCAUAACCCGCUAGCACUGAAUGAUAAUAAAAUUUAAUAACAACACUUAAAAUAGUGACAUAAAAUC